rnacentral:rRNA from 1 species
UACGGGGGGGGCAAGCGUUGUUCGGAAUUACUGGGCGUAAAGGGCUCGUAGGCGGCCAACUAAGUCAGACGUGAAAUCCCUCGGCUUAACCGGGGAACUGCGUCUGAUACUGGAUGGCUUGAGAUUGGGAGAGGGAUGCGGAAUUCCAGGUGUAGCGGUGAAAUGCGCAGAUAUCGGGAGGAACACCAAUGGCGAAGGCAGCUCGCUGGGACGGUACUGACGCUGAGGCGCGAAAGCGUGGGGAGCAAACAGG